rnacentral:rRNA from 1 species
CUACGUGCCAGCAGCCGCGGUAAUACGGGGGGUGCGAGCGUUAAUCGGAAUAACUGGGCGUAAAGGGCACGCAGGCGGUGACUUAAGUGAGAUGUGAAAGCCCCGAGCUUAACUUGGGAAUUGCAUUUCAUACUGGGUCGCUAGAGUACUUUAGGGAGGGGUAGAAUUCCACGUGUAGCGGUGAAAUGCGUAGAGAUGUGGAGGAAUACCGAAGGCGAAGGCAGCCCCUUGGGAAUGUACUGACGCUCAUGUGCGAAAGCGUGGGGAGCAAACAGGAUUAGAUACCCUGGUAGUCCACGCUGUAAACGCUGUCGAUUUGGGGAUUGGGCUUUAAGCUUGGUGCCCGUAGCUAACGUGAUAAAUCGACCGCCUGGGGAGUACGGCCGCAAGGUUAAAACUCAAAUGAAUUGACGGGGGCCCGCACAAGCGGUGGAGCAUGUGGUUUAAUUCGAUGCAACGCGAAGAACCUUACCUACUCUUGACAUCCAUGGAAUCCUGUAGAGAUACGGGAGUGCUUCGGGA